GCUUAGUUGAGUUGAGUUGUGAUAAUUAUUCCAAUGAAAUUUAGUGGGAAAAAAGGCGUUUUUAGACAAGGAAGCAUAAAUUAUACUCCUGGCAUAGCUGCCAUGAGACUACUACAGCAUUUAUCAAGAUGAUUCCAGGAAAUACUUCAUCCUUCCUACAUAAACGUUUUUAGUUUUCCUGUGUCUGGAGCACUGAUUAAACACAGUAAACCAAUUUUGAUAAUCGCUGUAACACUCCUAUCAUGCAAUCAGACAAUUAAUAGACAUGGCCUAGAACAUCUAUCAAA
rnacentral:misc_RNA from 1 species